AAGUCGAACGCAGUAGCAAUACUGAGUGGCAGACGGGUGAGUAUAAUGUGGGAAUCUGCCUUUUGGUUUGGAAUAACUCGGGGAAACUUGAGCUAAUACUAAAUAAGCCCUUACGGGGAAAGCUUUAUGCGCCGAAAGAUGAGCCCGCACUUGAUUAGCUAGUUGGUGAGGUAACUGCUCACCAAGGCAACAAUCAAUAGCUGUUCUUAGAGGAAGACCAGCCACAUUGGGACUGAGACACGGCCCGGACUCCUACGGGAGGCAGCAGUAAGGAAUCUUGCACAAUGGGGGAAACCCUGAUGCAGCGAUGCCGCGUGAGUGAAGAAGGCCUUUGGGUUGUAAAACUCUUUCGUUGGGGAAGAAAAUGACUGUACCCAAAUAAGAAGGUCCGGCUAACUUCGUGCCAGCAGCCGCGGUAAUACGAAGGGACCUAGCGUAGUUCGGAAUUACUGGGCUUAAAGAGCUCGUAGGUGGUUAAAAAAGUUGAUGGUGAAAUCCCAAGGCUCAACCUUGGAACUGUCAUCAAAACUUUUUAGCUAGAGUGUGAUAGAGGAAAGUGGAAUUUCUAGUGUAGAGGUGAAAUUCGUAGAUAUUAGAAAGAACACCAAAAGCGAAGGCAACUUUCUGGAUCACUACUGACACUGAGGAGCGAAAGCAUGGGUAGCGAAGAGGAUUAGAUACCCUCGUAGUCCAUGCUGUAAACGAUGUGUGCUAGACGUUGGAAAUUUAAUUUUCAGUGUCGCAGCAAAAGCGUUAAGCACACCGCCUGGGGAGUACGACCGCAAGGUUAAAACUCAAAUGAAUUGACGGGGACCCGCACAAGCAGUGGAGCAUGUGGUUUAAUUCGAAGAUACGCGCAGAACCUUACCAACACUUGACAUGUUCGUCGCGAGAC
rnacentral:rRNA from 1 species